GAUGAACGCUGGCGGCGUGCUUAACACAUGCAAGUCGAACGGUGAAGCCAAGCUUGCUUGGUGGAUCAGUGGCGAACGGGUGAGUAACACGUGAGCAACCUGCCCUGGACUCUGGGAUAAGCGCUGGAAACGGUGUCUAAUACUGGAUAUGAGCCUCUAUCGCAUGGUGGGGGUUGGAAAGAUUUUUCGGUCUGGGAUGGGCUCGCGGCCUAUCAGCUUGUUGGUGAGGUAAUGGCUCACCAAGGCGUCGACGGGUAGCCGGCCUGAGAGGGUGACCGGCCACACUGGGACUGAGACACGGCCCAGACUCCUACGGGAGGCAGCAGUGGGGAAUAUUGCACAAUGGGCGGAAGCCUGAUGCAGCAACGCCGCGUGAGGGAUGACGGCCUUCGGGUUGUAAACCUCUUUUAGCAGGGAAGAAGCGAAAGUGACGGUACCUGCAGAAAAAGCGCCGGCUAACUACGUGCCAGCAGCCGCGGUAAUACGUAGGGCGCAAGCGUUAUCCGGAAUUAUUGGGCGUAAAGAGCUCGUAGGCGGUUUGUCGCGUCUGCUGUGAAAUCCCGAGGCUCAACCUCGGGUCUGCAGUGGGUACGGGCAGACUAGAGUGCGGUAGGGGAGAUUGGAAUUCCUGGUGUAGCGGUGGAAUGCGCAGAUAUCAGGAGGAACACCGAUGGCGAAGGCAGAUCUCUGGGCCGUAACUGACGCUGAGGAGCGAAAGGGUGGGGAGCAAACAGGCUUAGAUACCCUGGUAGUCCACCCCGUAAACGUUGGGAACUAGUUGUGGGGACCAUUCCACGGUUUCCGUGACGCAGCUAACGCAUUAAGUUCCCCGCCUGGGGAGUACGGCCGCAAGGCUAAAACUCAAAGGAAUUGACGGGGACCCGCACAAGCGGCGGAGCAUGCGGAUUAAUUCGAUGCAACGCGAAGAACCUUACCAAGGCUUGACAUACACCAGAACACCGUAGAAAUACGGGACUCUUUGGACACUGGUGAACAGGUGGUGCAUGGUUGUCGUCAGCUCGUGUCGUGAGAUGUUGGGUUAAGUCCCGCAACGAGCGCAACCCUCGUUCUAUGUUGCCAGCACGUAAUGGUGGGAACUC
rnacentral:rRNA from 1 species